rnacentral:rRNA from 1 species
UACGUAGGGGGCAAGCGUUGUCCGGAAUCAUUGGGCGUAAAGCGCGUGUAGGCGGCUUUGCAAGUCGGGUGUGAAAGCCCUCAGCUUAACUGAGGAAGUGCGCCCGAAACUGCAGAGCUUGAGUACCGGAGAGGAUGGUGGAAUUCCCGAAGUAGAGGUGAAAUUCGUAGAUAUCGGGAGGAACACCGGUGGCGAAGGCGACCAUCUGGACGGAUACUGACGCUGAGACGCGAAAGCGUGGGUAGCAAACAGG